GGAAGUAUGCCCGAACGCCACAAGGGAUACUUUGAUAGAGUAUACUACAGGGGUUAAACUCCCCUUACUUCC
rnacentral:tRNA from 1 species